rnacentral:lncRNA from 1 species
UCUGCCAAUUCAGCCUGAACUUGAUCCAUACUUCUCUGUUGAUUCAGUCUUGUCGCGUAGCGGUGCGGACGAUGAUCAGCAAUCCUGCCUAGAACAGGAACCAGAGUGAGAUGUCUUGUUCAAUAACACUUGUAAUGCAAGAAUGAUAUGUGUAUGAUGUGUAUGUUGUUUAUCAUGAAUGAUCCUGCAAAGGAUAUACAUAUGCGGGUUAACUUUUUUCCUUUUUUAUGCAUUAUUUUUUUAUUUUAUUUUUUUUGAAAAUAAACAUGCUAUGAU